AUAAACCAGCAGUGUGAGAGAGCAGCUAUGAAACAAAUGCCCUUCUUCAACAGCAAACAAGACAUCAGUUAAAGGCACUUCCAGGCGAGAUGAAGAGGCUCAUGCUGGGGGUUCUUGCCAUAGUGUUGCUGGCACAAGCUAAAUAUGGCAAGCGAUGCGCCACCCAGUAUGAAUGUGAAGUCCUAAGACUCUUAGGUGGAUCUGCAAUAAAGGCUUUUUGCUGUGCUACUAACCAGUGCAAUGGAUAAGAGGAGCUCACCUACA